GACAUAUCUGUGGAUUUCGUAAUAAAUUGUGGUAUCACAUAAAGUUUUUCUAACUACCCACUUUGCUUAUUGUCAAAAUAUUGCGAUUUUUCGGUUCAUGUGGUCAAAUGUGGUUGCAGAGUUAUCGGAAAACAUUUCGUUUUUGAAAUAGAAAAUUAAAGUGCAGGUAUUCUCAUCAUGCCUCCGCAAAGAAGCC
rnacentral:lncRNA from 1 species